GACCCGGUGGUGAAAAUGUUAUCACACCCACUCCUUGUUGCACAUGGUGGGCGCUUCAGCAGGUGGGAGUCCCUUGUUCAAACCAAGGCCGGGUCA